UGGAAGUAAAAGUCGUAACAAGGUUUCCGUAGGUGAACCUGCGGAAGGAUCAUUGUCGAUACCUGUCCAAAACAGAACGACCCGAGAACGAACGAUCAUCACCUCCGGCGGGCCGGUCUCUUAGCUGAUUCCGUGACCGCUGGAUCCGUGGUUUCGCGAAGUGCUCCGAUCACGACUCGCGUCUUCGAUCUGGGCUCUGCGCGUUGCUUCCGGACUUAACAAAACCCCGGCACGAAAAGUGUCAAGGAACAUGCAACUAAACAGCUACCCAUCCACGAACCCCGGAGACGGUGUGUCCGCGGAUGCUUAGCCGUAAAAUCUAAAGUCUANNNNNNNNNNNNNNNNNNNNNNNNAAUACUUGGUGUGAAUUGCAGAAUCCCGUGAACCAUCGAGUCUUUGAGCGCAAGUUGCGCCCCAAGCCUUCUGGCCGAGGGCACGUCUGCCUGGGUGUCACAAAUCGUCGUCCCCUCCAUCCUCUCGAGGAUUGCGGGACGGAAGCUGGUCUCCCGUGUGUUACCGCACGCGGUUGGCCAAAAUCCGAGCCAAGGACGCCGGGAGCGUCUCGACAUGCGGUGGUGAAAACAAAGCCUCUUCAUAUCGUCGGUCCGCUCCUGUCCGGAAGCUCUAGAUGACCCAGAGUCCUCAACGCGACCCCAGGUCAGGCGGGAUCACCCGCUGAGUUUAAGCAUAUCAAUAAGCGGGAGGAA
rnacentral:misc_RNA from 1 species